rnacentral:rRNA from 1 species
UCCGUAGGCGGUGCGGCAAGUCGGAAGUGAGAUCUCUGGGCUUAACCCAGAGGCUGCUUCCGAAACUGCCGUGCUAGAGUGCGAGAGAGGCGAGUGGAAUUGCGGGUGUAGCGGUGAAAUGCGUAGAUAUCCGCAGGAACAUCCGAGGCGAAGGCGGCUCGCUGGAUCGCAACUGACGCUGAGGGACGAAAGCUAGGGGAGCAAACAGGAUUAGAUACCCUGGUAGUCCUAGCCCUAAACCAUCAGGACUUGGGGUUUGCCCUGUACGGGGCAAGUCCCGUAGCUAACGCGUUAAGUCCUGCGCCUGGGGAGUACGGUCGCAAGGCUGAA